rnacentral:lncRNA from 1 species
CCUGAAGCCGCGCCCCCCGCGCCCGCCCAACGCCGGGGACCCCGCCCUCCGCGCCACCGCCCCCGAGGGUCCCGCCCCCUGUGCCCCGCUGCUUCCGGGAACCUUGCGCUCCUCGCCCCUCUCCCCCCGGGAGCCCCGCCCUCAGCGCAGCUCCCAGAGCCACCGUCUCGCGCCUCCUUGCGUCCUCCGGAUCCGCUCUCUCAGGGCUUACAGCGGGGCCCCCGCUUUUCGGGGCUCCCCUCGGCCAGCGCCGGAGGUGGCUGGCGCGUCCCCAGGUCCGCGCCUGGCAGCCUGACGGGACUGUUGGGGGUGACCGCCAUAGCGCCACGUGGUCACUUGUUUGACAAAGGAAACUUUUUCCUCCUUACGAAGUGCGGCAUUUCUGGUCCGAGCCACCGGCCGCCUUAUGCCUAUUGUAUUCCCUUUCCCUGCCGAGCCAUCUUUUUCGCUUUCUUUGAGCUGUCCCAAACCUGGGCCAGGGUCCUGGCGCGGUGAAGACGUAUUCCCCGAGCCGGCCGCGGGGCCUUUGCUUUCUCUUGGAAGCUCACGAAAAUCACGAGAACUCUAGGCGGCUUGAUGUUUGCAAACCAACUGAAGAGCGGCAGAAAGUUUUCGUAGGCAGGUCAGCCGGGCCAUUUUGAAGUGUGCCCCAGAGCACAACGAUUAAAAUUAUACAGAGCCCUCAUCUGCUUUACUUUCUGGCCGAUUUGACUGUAACAGGUCUCAGGUGAGAAUUAAAUGUCCACAUUUAAAAGAAAAAACUGCAUUUCAGCUGUUACUUAGGGUCAUUGCCUCUGAAGUAACACUUGGCUAAUUCUGAAACUUGUAUAGUGUUAUAAACCAGUGUUGCCUCAAAUAAUAACAAUAAAGCACUUGGAUAAUUCUGAACACAGUCAUAGAAAUCACUUGCAGGGUUCUGUUUUAAAUGUGAGAUGGCCUUAUCUUCUGGCGCAGAAUUCCUUAGAAAAUAUUUUUAGAAUGCCAUGAAUGUGACAAGCUCUGCAAUAAAGCAUAUUGCUCUCAACAGUGUUAUCGGCAUACCAUAUUGAAAAGCAGUGGGAAAAGCCACGAAGUAAUAGCCUGGAUUGCACGGUAUUUGAAGGCCUAUUUAUGAGGCUAGGAGGUUGAGUUCUUUGCUACUAUUCUAUCUCUAGAUAAGUAUUUUAUAUAGGCUCAAUACACCAACCUGAAUCCUACUUUCUCACCUCUAAGACUUGUUUAAUAAGGUGGGUGAUGUUUAAAGAUGUAUUCUUGAAGUUUAAUUAUCAUCUUUAAGGUUGCUUUGAAAGCCACAUAGAAAGGGUUCUGUGCUGUUAGAAACUUGGUUGCAUGUGGUUUUCACAGCAAUUGCAACAAUAAAUGUUGAUUGCAGAAAAGCACAACCUGAUUAAGUGUUUCAGAUCAAAUAUAAUUUAUUACUAGAGAAGCCAUAAUAUAAAUAUAGUAUGAAGUAAAUCAGGGACGUCAGCCAAAGUAUGUAAAAUCCAUUAUCUUGGUGAUAAGGGGUAACUAAAAGAAAAUUUCUUCCCAAUUAAAAGAAGACACUCAGGAGAAUUAAAUGGCUCUGACAGAUGACUUUGCUGAAAUUAGGAGAUAAAUGGGCAGAUAGAUAGAUAGGUAAGAUAUUCACUCCAGAGAAGAAAUAAAGAUAGCCCAACUCCAAAUAUGUAGUAAGAUGAAAUAGUGGGAUGAUUCGAGCGCUAAGCAUCUUCUUAGGCAAGAGUUUGGAUAGAGGCAGGCUGCCUUGUCCUUUGUGGAUUUGGUUUAGCCAGUGGGCUCUUCACAAAAUGAAGAGAACAAGCAUGUGGUCACUGACCCUCUGAAAUGCUUUAAAACCUUGCACUGUUCCAAAGAGCAUUCCUUUAUUCAUCAACAUUUUAUUGAGGC